rnacentral:tRNA from 1 species
GGGACGGUAGCUCAGCCCGGGAGAGCGUCCGGCUGAAGACCGGAGUGUCGUGGGUUCAAAUGUCGAAACCAGCGGGUUUCG